GCAGAAACAAAAAUUCAGUACAUAUACGAAAACAAGAAACUUGCUCAAAAGUAAAUGCUUCAUCAAUUGAAAGAUUCAUGUCUAGGAGGAGACAUCAGACAACAGAGUGUUGCUAGGACUUGACCACUGAUUCAGCAUACUGAAGCCCAAGCGAAAGACAAUGCUGGAGUUCUAAUAAAACUUAACUCAACUCAAUUAAGCAUUUAUCCUAAAAAUGUGACGAAAUUUUUACGCU
rnacentral:misc_RNA from 1 species